rnacentral:rRNA from 1 species
GACGGAGGGGGCAAGCGUUGUCCGGACUCACUGGGCGUAAAGGGUGCGUAGGCGGCCGGGUAAGUCUGAUGUGAAAUCUCACAGCUUAACUGUGAAACUGCAUUGGAUACUAUCCGGCUCGAGGAAUGGAGGGGAGACUGGAAUACUUGGUGUAGCAGUGAAAUGCGUAGAUAUCAAGUGGAACACCAGUGGCGAAGGCGAGUCUCUGGACAUUUCCUGACGCUGAGGCACGAAAGCCAGGGGAGCAAACGGG